UGGACCAGCCGGAGGAUCGCUCGCCCUUGAGGGGCGGGAGGAACUUCCGAACUCCAUAGAGCGCGGCGCCCGUACCGAAAGGCGGGAACGCGGGGACAAUAGGCCCCGCGGAUGGAAAGUGCCACAGAGAACAUACCGCUUCAGCGCUGAAAGCUUGAGCGCCGAAGCAAGGGUGAAAAGGUGCGGUAAGAGCGCACCGCUCAUCCCGAGAGGGAUGAGGCAGGGAAAACCCCGUACCGAAAGGUACGUCCCAUCCCUUGAGUGACAGGAAUGGGACGCCGGGAGCAAGGCAAUAGGGCGGUUUGCGCGGCUCGCGCGGCCCUGAAAGGGGCGGCCGCCCGGUAGCCGCAAUAGAGAAAUGAUCCUCGCCGUUCGCUGACGCGAGCGGACAGAAUUCGGGGUAUAGGCUGGUCCACGGC
rnacentral:RNase_P_RNA from 1 species